rnacentral:rRNA from 1 species
CCUACGGGUGGCAGCAGUGGGGGAUAUUGCACAAUGGGGGAAACCCUGAUGCAGCGACGCCGCGUGUGGGAAGACGGUCCUCUGGAUUGCAAACCACUGUCCCCAGGGACGAAGAUGACGGUACCUGGGGAGGAAGCUCCGGCUAACUACGUGCCAGCAGCCGCGGUAAUACGUAGGGAGCAAGCGUUGUCAGGAUUUACUGGGUGUAAAGGGAGCGUAGGCGGGAUGGAAAGCUGGGUGUUAAAUCUACCGGCUCAACUGGUAGUCGCACUCAAAACUGCUAUUCUUGAGUGAAGUAGAGGCAGGCGGAAUUCCUAGUGUAGCGGUGAAAUGCGUAGAUAUUAGGAGGAACACCAGUGGCGAAGGCGGCCUGCUGGGCUUUUACUGACGCUGAGGCUCGAAAGUGUGGGGAGCAAACAGGAUUAGAUACCCCUGUAGUC